AAAUUAUACACAUGUAUGGCUAUCAUUAACACUAUUUUGCCAAAUGUCUGGCACACUUUCACAUGUGAAAACUGUUUUAGAUAAUUAGUCCACUUUGCAAUCAGCCUAAGCACUAUAAACAGGCCACAGGUAAGCUGUCUAUGUGGAGUACAAUGGAAGGAGCAGCAAGAGUGAGAAGAGUGAGAAUCAGAGGAGGCCGAGGGAGAGGACGUGGAGGUGAAGAAGUUGGAGGAAGAGGACGUGGAGGUGAAGAAGUUGGAGGAAGAGGACGUGGAGGUGAAGAAGUUGGAGGAAGAGGACGUGGAGGAGCAAGAAGAGGACGAGGAGGGGAAAGAGGAAGGGUAAGAAGAGUAAGAAACAGAAUAACUGAUGACAUCAGAGCUACAAUAGUGGACCAUGUCAUCAACCAUGGGAUGACCCUGAGGGAAGCUGGCCAACGGGUUCAGCCUAAACUGAGCCACUACACUGUGGCAGGCAUCAUUAGGACAUUUCGAAAUGAGAAUCGGUAAGUACUUUGUAGCACUGCCAUACUCUAAUGAGAAACACAACAGUACCAUACAUGCAAAAAUACUGAAAUUGUUACUUUACAGAAUUGCUAGACGUCCAGAUGUUGGGGGCAGAGGCAGAAUGUUCACUCCAGAGCAAGAGACCCAUAUAGUGAACAUGGUGAUUGCCAAUAAUGCAAUAAGACUGCGCGAAAUACAGCAGCGCAUAAUUGAUAAUGACACCAUCUUUCAAAAUAUACACAGUGCAAGCAUUUCUGCACUGAGUCGUGUACUUGCGCGCCACAGAAUAAGAAUGAAGCAAAUUCCUUUCGAGAGAAACACAGAACGUGUAAAGCAACUGCGAUAUGACUAUGUGCAGAGAGUGAUGGAACUAGAAGCAGAUGCAAUGGGACAUGAGCUACUUUUUGUGGAUGAGGCCGGUUUCAACCUCAGUAAAACCAGGAGACGUGGCAGGAACAUUAUUGGACACCGUGCC
ensembl:lncRNA